rnacentral:rRNA from 1 species
UGGGGAAUAUUGCACAAUGGGCGCAAGCCUGAUGCAGCCAUGCCGCGUGUAUGAAGAAGGCCUUCGGGUUGUAAAGUACUUUCAGCGGGGAGGAAGGGAGUAAAGUUAAUACCUUUGCUCAUUGACGUUACCCGCAGAAGAAGCACCGGCUAACUCCGUGCCAGCAGCCGCGGUAAUACGGAGGGUGCAAGCGUUAAUCGGAAUUACUGGGCGUAAGGCGCACGCAGGCGGGUUGUUAAGUCAGAUGUGAAAUCCCCGGGCUCAACCUGGGAACUGCAUCUGAUACUGGCAAGCUUGAGUCUCGUAGAGGGAGGUAGAAGUCCAGGUGUAGCGGUGAAAUGCGUAGAGAUCUGGAGGAAUACCGGUGGCGAAGGCGGCCCCCUGGACGAAGACUGACGCUAAGGUGCGAAAGCGUGGGGAGCAAACAGG